UCUAGCUUCCCGGCUGCUUUGUUUACCCAAGCAAGCCUGGGCAAUGGCGGGCGCCCCUCCCCCAGCCUUGCUGCGGCCUUGCAGUUUGAUCUCAGACUGCUGUGCUAGCAAUCAGCGAGACUCCGUGGGCGUAGGACCCUCCUAGCCAGGUGCAAGAUAUAAUCUCGCGGUGCGCCGUUUUUUAAGCCGGUCCGAAAGCGCAAUAUUCGGGUGGGAGAGACCCGAUUUUCCAGUGAGAUGAACCCAGUACCUCAGAUGGAAAUGCAGAAAUCACCCGUCUUCUGCGUCGCUCACGCUGGGAGCUGUAGACCGGAGCUGUUGCUAUUCGGCCAUCUUGGCUCCUCUCCUGCACUGCAAGAAUGGACUAAUACGCUAUGUGAAGACAAAGGGGAUGUCUGCAAGCCAGGACGAGUGCGUCUACCAGAAACUGAGUUCUGCUGGACUUUGAUCUAGGACAUCCAGCCUCCAGAAUGGAAUGUGCCAUAUGUGGAGACCUGCAUGGAAAGGAACUGAGGAUGCUCUCUCACUAAAAGCUAGAAGGAACUGAGGCCCUCAGUCAACAGUCUACAAGACACUGAAUCUUGCCAGCAGCCAAGCAGUGAGCUUGAAAGCAGAUCUAUCAUCAGCUGAACCUUCAGAUGAGACCGCAGCCUAAGCAGAUACCUUGGUUGCAGCCAUGUGAGACAACCUGAAACAGAGGGCACAGCUAAGCCUCAGCCAGGUUCAUGACCCUCUGAGGAAACUGUGAGAAAGCAAAUGUCAUUUUAAGCUAUUUAAUUUUGGAGGUAGUUUAUUACACAACAAUAAAUAACUAUUAUAAUUAUCUUGAGGAUUUAUUUCCUGGGGAGAAUACAUGGAAUUGCAUAUAUAGGUCCUCAUAUGCAGAAUACUGGUACCCUAGAGAUGUUCACCCCAGAGAUGUUUUAGGAACCUGUGAAUAUGUUACAUUAAAUGGCAAAGUUUUCCUGGAUGGUUUAAGUUUAAGAUGGAAAAGUUUUACUGGAUUAUCCAGUGGGUCCAAUCUAGUAACAUGAGUCCUUAAAAAUGGAGAAUAUUUUUUGGCCAUGAUCAGAGAGACAUGUGAUGAUGGAAAAAGUGUCAGAGAUGCAAUGUGAGGGGACUAAAACUGCUGUUGCUGACUUUAAAGAUGGAGAGAGGGGAACCCGAGUCAAGGAAUGCAAAUGGCCUCUGGAAGCUGGAAAAAGCAAGAAAUGGAUUCUCCUUUAGAGCCUGUGGAAUAAAAUGCAGUCAUGCUGACACCUUGAUUUUACCUCAGUGAGACCAAUACUGGAGUAUGACCUUCGGAGCUGAAUAAAAUUAUACGUACACAUCUUAAUUUCUUGGGAUUUGAUUACUUCUUCUGCUUUGAAAUUAGACCAAGUUUAGCCUGCCUUUGCUAUUUUGGCGUAUCUCCAAUUCUUCAUGAUUUUCUCAUGGCCUUCUGCUCACAUGGGCUUCCGUGCACCUGCUUCAGGAGACAGCAACACUUGCGCCCGCACCGCGGCAGGCUCCCAUCACCUGGUGGAUAUGCCGCGCCGAGUCUCAUCACACCUUAGUGAAGGAACACAUGGACCCAUAUGUUAGCGGAUGUAUUUACAUCGUUUUAUACAGAAAGGGGAAGAAAACUGCAUACCUCAGAAAGGGGUUGCUCCUCACUCUGAGUACUAGACUAAAGAUAAAAAGACUAGAUAAAAGUACUAGACUAAAGACAGAGCUGACCCAUGACAG
rnacentral:lncRNA from 1 species